rnacentral:rRNA from 1 species
GGGUUGUGAGGUUAAGCGACUAAGCGUACACGGUGGAUGCCCUGGCAGUCAGAGGCGAUGAAGGACGUGCUAAUCUGCGAAAAGCGCCGGCGAGGUGAUAUGAACCUUUGACCCGGCGAUGUCCGAAUGGGGAAACCCAGUGUGUUCCGACACACUAUCGUUAACUGAAUACAUAGGUUAACGAGGCGAACCGGGGGAACUGAAACAUCUAAGUACCCCGAGGAAAAGAAAUCAACCGAGAUUCCCCCAGUAGCGGCGAGCGAACGGGGAGCAGCCCGGAGUCUGAAUCAGCUUGUGUGUUAGUGGAACGGUCUGGAAAGUCCGACGGUACAGGGUGAUAGUCCCGUACACGAAAAUGCACUUGCUGUGAACUCGAAGAGUAGGGCGGGACACGUGGUAUCCUGUCUGAAUAUGGGGGGACCAUCCUCCAAGGCUAAAUACUCCUGACUGACCGAUAGUGAACC